rnacentral:rRNA from 1 species
UACGGGGGGGGGCAAGCGUUGUUCGGAAUUACUGGGCGUAAAGGGCUCGUAGGCGGCCAACUAAGUCGGACGUGAAAUCCCUCGGCUUAACCGGGGAACUGCGUCCGAUACUGGAUGGCUUGAGGUUGGGAGAGGGAUGCGGAAUUCCAGGUGUAGCGGUGAAAUGCGUAGAUAUCUGGAGGAACACCGGUGGCGAAGGCGGCAUCCUGGACCAAUUCUGACGCUGAGUGAGCGAAAGCCAGGGGAGCAAACGGGG